rnacentral:rRNA from 1 species
UACGUAGGGGGCUAGCGUUGUCCGGAAUCAUUGGGCAUAAAGCGCGUGUAGGCGGUCCGGUAAGUCCGCUGUGAAAGUCGGGGGCUCAACCCUCGGAUGCCGGUGGAUACUGUCGGGCUUGAGUACGGAAGAGGCGAGUGGAAUUCCUGGUGUAGCGGUGAAAUGCGCAGAUAUCAGGAGGAACACCAAUUGCGAAGGCAGCUCGCUGGGACGUUACUGACGCUGAGACGCGAAAGCGUGGGGAGCAAACAGG